rnacentral:rRNA from 1 species
UACAGGGGGUGCAAACGUUGCUCGGAAUUAUUGGGCGUAAAGCGCGCGUAGGCGGCUACUUAAGUCGGAUGUGAAAUCCCUCGGCUCAACUGAGGAACUGCCUUUGAAACUGUCUGGCUUGAGGCCGGGAGAGGGUAGCGGAAUUCCCAGUGUAGCGGUGAAAUUCGUAGAUAUCGGGAGGAACACCAGUGGCGAAGGCGGCGAUCUGGGUCGAAACUGACGCUGAGGUGCGAAAGCGUGGGGAGCAAACAGG